rnacentral:rRNA from 1 species
UACGUAGGGGGCUAGCGUUGUCCGGAAUCAUUGGGCGUAAAGCGCGUGUAGGCGGUUCGGUAAGUCCGCUGUGAAAGUCGGGGGCUCGAACCCUCGGAAGCCGGUGGAUACUGUCGGGCUAGAGUGACGGAAGAGGCGAGUGGAAUUCCUGGUGUAGCGGUGAAAUGCGGCAGAUAUCAAGGAGGAACACCAAUUGCGAAGGCAGCUCGCUGGGACGUUACUGACGCUGAGACGCGAAAGCGUGGGGAGCAAACAGG